AUUGAACGCUGGCGGCAGGCCUAACACAUGCAAGUCGAGCGGAUGACGGGAGCUUGCUCCUUGAUUCAGCGGCGGACGGGUGAGUAAUGCCUAGGAAUCUGCCUGGUAGUGGGGGACAACGUUUCGAAAGGAACGCUAAUACCGCAUACGUCCUACGGGAGAAAGCAGGGGACCUUCGGGCCUUGCGCUAUCAGAUGAGCCUAGGUCGGGUUAGCUAGUUGGUGGGGUAAUGGAUCACCAAGGCGACGAUCCGUAGCUGGUCUGAGAGGAUGAUCAGUCACACUGGAACUGAGCCACGGUCCAGACUACUACGGGAGGCAGCAGUGGGGAAUAUUGGACAAUGGGCGAAAGCCUGAUCCAGCCAUGCCGCGUGUGUGAAGAAGGUCUUCGGAUUGUAAAGCACUUUAAGUUGGGAGGAAGGGCAGUAAGCUAAUACCUUGCUGUUUUGACGUUACCGACAGAAUAAGCACCGGCUAACUCUGUGCCAGCCGCCGCAGUAAUAC
rnacentral:rRNA from 1 species